GAUGAACGCUAGCGGGAGGCCUAAUACAUGCAAGCCGAGCGGUAGAGUUUCUUCGGAAACUUGAGAGCGGCGCACGGGUGCGUAACACGUGUGCAACCUACCUUUAUCUGGGGGAUAGCCUUUCGAAAGGAAGAUUAAUACCCCAUAAUAUAAUGAUUGGCAUCAAUUAUUAUUGAAAACUCCGGUGGAUAGAGAUGGGCACGCGCAAGAUUAGAUAGUUGGUGAGGUAACGGCUCACCAAGUCAAUGAUCUUUAGGGGUCCUGAGAGGGAGAUCCCCCACACUGGUACUGAGACACGGACCAGACUCCUACGGGAGGCAGCAGUGAGGAAUAUUGGACAAUGGGUGAGAGCCUGAUCCAGCCAUCCCGCGUGAAGGAUGACGGUCCUAUGGAUUGUAAACUUCUUUUGUACAGGGAUAAACCUACCCUCGUGAGGGUAGCUGAAGGUACUGUACGAAUAAGCACCGGCUAACUCCGUG
rnacentral:rRNA from 1 species